rnacentral:rRNA from 1 species
CCUACGGGUGGCAGCAGUGGGGAAUAUUGGACAAUGGGCGAAAGCCUGAUCCAGCCAUGCCGCGUGUGUGAAGAAGGCCUUCGGGUUGUAAAGCACUUUCAGUGGGGAAGAAAGCCUUGGGGCUAAUACCCUCGAGGAAGGACAUCACCCACAGAAGAAGCACCGGCUAACUCCGUGCCAGCAGCCGCGGUAAUACGGAGGGUGCGAGCGUUAAUCGGAAUUACUGGGCGUAAAGCGCGCGUAGGCGGUCUAAUAAGCCGGUUGUGAAAGCCCCGGGCUCAACCUGGGAACGGCAUCCGGAACUGUCAGGCUAGAGUGCAGGAGAGGAAGGUAGAAUUCCCGGUGUAGCGGUGAAAUGCGUAGAGAUCGGGAGGAAUACCAGUGGCGAAGGCGGCCUUCUGGACUGACACUGACGCUGAGGUGCGAAAGCGUGGGUAGCAAACAGGAUUAGAUACCCGGGUAGUC